rnacentral:rRNA from 1 species
GCCAGACUCCUACGGGAGGCAGCAGUGGGGAAUAUUGCACAAUGGGCGAAAGCCUGAUGCAGCAACGCCGCGUGAAGGAAGAAGGGUUUCGGCUCGUAAACUUCUAUCAACAGGGACGAAAGAAAUGACGGUACCUGAAUAAGAAGCCCCGGCUAACUACGUGCCAGCAGCCGCGGUAAUACGUAGGGGGCAAGCGUUAUCCGGAUUUACUGGGUGUAAAGGGAGCGUAGACGGCGCUGCAAGUCCGGAGUGAAAGUCCAUGGCUUAACCAUGGUACUGCUCUGGAAACUGUGGAGCUUGAGUGCGGGAGGGGCAGGCGGAAUUCCUAGUGUAGCGGUGAAAUGCGUAGAUAUUAGGAGGAACACCGGCGGCGAAGGCGGCCUGCUGGACCGUAACUGACGUUGAGGCUCGAAAGCGUGGGGAGCAAACAGGAUUAGAUACCCGUGUA